GACGAACGCUGGCGGCGUGCUUAACACAUGCAAGUCGAACGAUGAUGCUGGAGCUUGCUCCAGUUGAUUAGUGGCGAACGGGUGAGUAACACGUGAGCAAUCUGCCCUUGACUCUGGGAUAACUGCGGGAAACUGUAGCUAAUACCGGAUACUUUCACCGGAAGGCAUCUUCUGGUGAUGAAAGAAUUUCGGUCAGGGAUGAGCUCGCGGCCUUUCAGCUUGUUGGUGAGGUAACGGCUCACCAAGGCGACGACGGGUAGCCGGCCUGAGAGGGUGACCGGCCACACUGGGACUGAGACACGGCCCAGACUCCUACGGGAGGCAGCAGUGGGGAAUAUUGCACAAUGGGCGCAAGCCUGAUGCAGCAACGCCGCGUGAGGGAUGACGGCCUUCGGGUUGUAAACCUCUUUUAGUAGGGAAGAAGCGAAAGUGACGGUACCUGCAGAAAAAGCACCGGCUAACUACGUGCCAGCAGCCGCCGUAA
rnacentral:rRNA from 1 species